rnacentral:rRNA from 1 species
ACAGGGAUUGCCCUAGUAACGGCGAGUGAAGCGGCAACAGCUCAAAUUUGAAAUCUGGCGUCUUUGGCGUCCGAGUUGUAAUUUGCAGAGGGCGCUUUGGCAUUGGCAGCGGUCCAAGUUCCUUGGAACAGGACGUCACAGAGGGUGAGAAUCCCGUACGUGGUCGCUAGCCUUUACCGUGUAAAGCCCCUUCGACGAGUCGAGUUGUUUGGGAAUGCAGCUCUAAAUGGGAGGUAAAUUUCUUCUAAAGCUAAAUACUGGCCAGAGACCGAUAGCGCACAAGUAGAGUGAUCGAAAGAUGAAAAGCACUUUGGAAAGAGAGUUAAAAAGCACGUGAAAUUGUUGAAAGGGAAGCGCUUGCAGCCAGACUUGCCUGUAGUUGCUCAUCCGGGUUUUUACCCGGUGCACUCUUCUACGGGCAGGCCAGCAUCAGUUUGGGCGGUUGGAUAAAGGUCUCUGUCACGUACCUCCUCUCGGGGAGAUCUUAUAGGGGAGACGACAUGCAACCAGCCUGGACUGAGGUCCGCGCAUCUGCUAGGAUGCUGGCGUAAUGGCUGUAAGCGGCCCGUCUUGAAACACGGACCAAGGAGUCUAACAUCUAUGCGAGUGUUUGGGUGUCAAGCCCGAGCGCGUAAUGAAAGUGAACGGAGGUGGGAACCUUUCGGGGUGCACCAUCGACCGAUCCUGAUGUCUUCGGAUGGAUUUGAGUAAGAGCAUAGCUGUUGGGACCCGAAAGAUGGUGAACUAUGCUUGAAUAGGGUGAAGCCAGAGGAAACUCUGGUGGAGGCUCGCAGCGGUUCUGACGUGCAAAUCGAUCGUCAAAUUUGGGCA